UUUUGGUAAUAAAGUGAAUCUGUUUGACAAAAAAAAAAAAAUAAAGUGAAUCUUCGAUCAGCUCCGUACCCAAAAUUCCUCCUCCCUUGCCCGAUCGAGAAUCUUCGAUCACCAAUUUCCAUGGAAAAUCACUCAACGGGAUUCUGGGCGGCUUGGAUUCUGCUCCUCAUCGGAGCUUCCAAUGCCUCGAUCCACGACUACAAGACCGAAAAGUUCAUCCCACAAGCCAAUUCUCGAUUCUUCCAUGGCGGCAGCGAAGGUCUCUACGCCUCCAACUCUCAAGACCUAAACACUUCCUCUUCUUCUUCCGAUAUAUCUCUUAAAGGAAAGUCCUUUGUAAGGUUUGCUGACGUAACCUUCGUGAGGACGAUGGAAUCCGCUAGCAAACAGAACCCAAUGCAGUCCACCGCAGGUCUGGUCGAAGCGAUACUACUCGAGGUGAAAGACCGUGAUCGAAUCGGCGGAUCUUUUCUCAAGAGCAAUGCUAUUUGCUGCACUCCUGAUCUUGCUGAUGCUGGCUCUUGCACUCUCGGCGAAGUUAUUAUCAAAAGAGAUUCUAAUGAUGAUAAGUGGCCGAGACAGAUCAAGACUUUCUUUAAAGGGAACAAGACGGAAGCUGCUAUGCUUCCGGAGACCGUGGUGAUAAACAAAACAGGGAUGUACUAUCUUUACUUCGUGAUAUGCGACCCGGGGCUGGACGGGACUGUGAUCAGAGGGAGAACGGUUUGGAAGAAUCCCGACGGUUAUUUACCGGGAAAAGUGGCUCCUCUGAUGAAGUUUUUCGGAUUCAUGUCUUUGGCUUAUCUCUUGCUCGGCCUCGUUUGGUUUCUGAGGUUUGUUAAGUUCUGGAAGGAUAUCAUUCAGCUGCACUAUCAUAUCACUUUGGUUAUCGCUCUUGGGAUGUGUGAGAUGGCUGUUAGGUACUUUGAGUACGCUAAUUUUGAUUCUACUGGGAUGAGACCGAUGGAUGUUACUCUGUGGGCGGUGACGUUUGCUUCCAUUAAGAAGACGCUUUCGAGGCUUCUUCUUUUGGUUGUCUCUAUGGGUUUUGGGGUGGUGAAGCCUACGCUUGGUGGGAUGAGCUCGAGGGUGCUUCUUCUUGGAGUCGUAUAUUUUGUUGCAACGGAGGCUCUUGAGUUGGUUGAGCAUUUGGGAAACAUUAACGACUUUUCUGGAAAGACAUUGAUAUAUUUGGUGAUUCCAGUGGCGAUAUUGGAUGCUUGCUUUAUUCUGUGGAUUUUCUCAUCAUUGGCAAGAACCCUUGAGAAACUUCAGAUUAAGAGAAACAUGGCUAAGCUUGAGCUUUAUAGGAAUUUCACCAAUUCACUCGCUGUCUCUGUUCUGGUCUCUAUUGCUUGGAUUGGUUUUGAGCUUUACUUCAACGCAAGUGACCCUUUAAGCGAACUCUGGCGAAUGGCGUGGAUCAUUCCAGCGUUUUGGAAUCUACUAUCUUAUGGCCUAUUAGCAGUCAUAUGCAUCCUUUGGGCUCCAUCGAACAAUCCUACCAGGUAUUCAUACUUAGCAGAAACAGGGGACGAGUUUGAAGAGGAAGGUAUAUCGUUGACGAGUGGUGGAAUUAAGAUUACAGGCGAUGUUGAAAGGAAUGAGCUUCUGUACGGGCUUGCAGACGAGGUUGAGGAGGACAAACGUGAGUAAACAUCAGGUAGUAAGUAGCCUAUAUCUAAUGAGUCUUUGCAUCCUAGUUUGUAACCUUUAUGUAAAUCCUUAAACCUUUGUGCCUGAGUAAGUUGUUUUAUGACCCUUAAGGACUCUUAUUUACUCACAUCAAAGUUCUUGUUGUCUUACUUGUUUACUAUAAGGACAAAAGUUCCAUCGAAUAUCUUCUGCUAUA